GCAGAUUAGUGGUGAGAUAACAAACUAACACCAGGAAAGGCUCCCGGCUCUCUCCAUGCCCAUGGACGUGGACAUCGGCAUGCCCACAACAGAAACAAGACUCCCAAGGAUGGACUUCUAGAAUGAAGCCUGCAACAAAGUGAGCAGAUUUGCACCCAGUCUCUCCACCAGAUGAACCAGGACUGUUUUCAGACAGAAGUGGUCCUGCAGCUAAAAAAAGCAGUGCUCUCUCUCAAGGGUGAUGAUCAUAACUCAGAGAUGGUACUGAAUUCCAAGAUCCACUCCUGUAGCUGCAUGAAGUUCAUCAGACCAUCAGACCUGCCAAGAUGUCCCUGAACAGAUGCACGGAUGCUUUCCUCAAUAUCCCACCCACCUGAUCAGGAAGCAGAACUAAGGGGUGAUGAGACUUCAGUACUCUCCUUGCUAUUAGGUGCAAUAAACCUCCACCUCUAGUGAGGAGAUUGCA
rnacentral:lncRNA from 1 species